AUUAGGGCAUGCAAUAUGGGGCAAACACUUUUGUAGCUGGAAAUAGGGGAUUCUUUCCCUACCGGCCGUCUUUACGUUGCCCACGUUCUUUUCUUCUUAUUUGCAGGUCUAGGAUUCGGGCGAAGAAGACGAGAUGUGGCAAUAUCCGUAUGCAUCACCGUAGAAGUACCGACCCGCACAGGUCAAUGCUUCUUCAUUGGCGCCAUCCGUGGGACCUGGCGAUACAUCUCCUUUUUUCCCGAAUUUCUAGAUCGGUGUUCGUUCUUUAUGCUUUUUGGGACCUGCAACUUCAAAUAUGGUUUUGUUUUGGGGUUCACACAUGAUGCCUUUGCAUAAUCUUUUAAUUAUUGCACACAAAUCUCGCACUUUCUCUGAGGCGGUCAACGUUUUUGUUGUGAAAGAUAACAAAUCUUGCCUUAAAAACACUUUGCAAAAAGCAACAGAGAGAUAGAAAAGAAAGUGGAGAAACAUGGACUUUCAUACGAGGUGAUAUCCGGAGUUAAAGGGCUACCCCUUGUGGCGCGUUGUUGUACCGACAGUCGCGCGUUCCUUGUGGCGCAUGGUUUUCCCCGCCUAACUAAAACUCACUCGAGCCCUGCGCUACCACAAACUUGAAUCACGCCGGAUGUGGCGGACAAACACUACGCUGUCGCGUAUCGGAAGUCACCUAGACGGACAUCUCCCUUUCGUGUGCUAUGUCCGGCGGAUGACCCUCUUCGUGUGCCAUGCCCGACGGAAGGUUUCAUUCGUCAGUCUUGGCCACACUGUGUGGAUCGUCGAUCUCUCCGGUUUUCUUCUGGUCGAAUGCACGCUCUCCAAACUUGGUAUAUGAUUUUCCUCUUUUGCUGGAUAAGACGGAGAAGUAAAUAAUUACUUAUGAUUAAUUAUAUAUUGCAUAACCAUCAAUACCUCCAAAUCUAGUCUAAAGUAUCUUUAUGAUUGUGAUAAGGAUUAGAUUGAUAUUUACGAUUAUCCACCUACAUAUGCAGAGGAUUCAUGAUUUUAUAUUAAAUACACCCAUGACACCUUUAUCUUAUACCUCCCAAGUUCAAACAGAGACAUCUUUGUUGUUUAUGAGUUCAAACAGAGUAUGAUUUUAUAUUAAAAUCAAACAGAGAUAUUUUUGUUAAAAAUAACUAUGACUUAUCACCUCAUAGAAUUUACAUAAAGGUCUUGUGGUUAUUUUUACAAAAAAUACAAGAUACAUAUCUUUUAGAUAAAUACAUAUCUUUUGGAAUUUUUUGCAUAAAUAAGUGGUUUGAACCACAAAAGAGUGUUAUUAGGUGGGUAAAAGUUAUGUUUUCACAAUUAGGUAGGUUGUGGUUCCAUACAGCGACCUUCAUGAAGGUUUUCUGCAAAAGCUGUCAAGUACUGCAAAAGCUGUCCAACAUGUUUGAAGGUUGCAGAUUAAUACAGCGACCUUCUGAAGGUCGCUGUUUGAAGUACCAAUCUUAUAGAAGGUCGCUGAAUCAUGUACCAACCUUAGUGAAGGUCGCAGAAUCAUGUACCAAUGUUAUUGAAGGUCGCUUUUUCA